UAAAUAUCUGGAUGCGUUUUCUUGAAUACAGGUUCGAUCUUUGAUUAUCUGCAUAGUAUAUCUAACCACUCUGACUUUCCUUUAUUAUUAAGAUGCAUCAAAUCGCAAUCCCCUCCGAGAGGAAGGGCCAACUCAAGUAGCAUCCAUGUACGAGAAUCUCUGUAAUGUAGUUAUGUGAACUAGAGGUGUGGUUUAGCAAUGUACCUCAUACACGGCUGGUUGAUGAUAAAGAUAUCUCAGAGAUGGAGGACCUCGUAACCGACCAUGUUGGGAGCUUGUGAAGAAAUAGUAUGUUGCUGUAUGGAGGAAUCCUUUAAAUAACUCUUGCUACAUGAGUCAGUGAUCCUGAGGCAAACCUCCACUUUGUGAUAGUGAUGAUAAUUCCAGAUAAUGUUUGAUGCAACCUUCAACUAUAGAGGUUUCAGUUUCCU